rnacentral:rRNA from 1 species
CAGGCCUAACACAUGCAAGUCGGACGGUAGCACAGAGGAGCUUGCUCCUCGGGUGACGAGUGGCGGACGGGUGAGUAAUGUCUGGGGAUCUGCCCGAUAGAGGGGGAUAACCACUGGAAACGGUGGCUAAUACCGCAUAACGUCGCAAGACCAAAGAGGGGGACCUUCGGGCCUCUCACUAUCGGAUGAACCCAGAUGGGAUUAGCUAGUAGGCGGGGUAACGGCCCACCUAGGCGACGAUCCCUAGCUGGUCUGAGAGGAUGACCAGCCACACUGGAACUGAGACACGGUCCAGACUCCUACGGGAGGCAGCAGUGGGGAAUAUUGCACAAUGGGCGCAAGCCUGAUGCAGCCAUGCCGCGUGUAUGAAGAAGGCCUUCGGGUUGUAAAGUACUUUCAGCGGGGAGGAAGGCGAUGUGGUUAAUAACCGCAUUGAUUGACGUUACCCGCAGAAGAAGCACCGGCUAACUCCGUGCCAGCAGCCGCGGUAAU